AUGCCCAUUCCAGGUGUGUGCAGCUUAGGAGGGCAGGUAUCUUCUGGGCACCCUCUGGAGUCAAAUCAAGAUUUGAGGUAACUUGAGGAGGUUUGUAGCCAAAGGUUGGAAACGACAGCACCGAGGCACACACGGAGCACAUUUCGACAUCCACGUCCGACCGAGGAUGGAUUUUGUCUGCUCCUUUUCCAAAAGCUAAGUGUUGGGGCCAGUGGUUGGGAGAAGGGGAAAAACCUUUACUAUCACAGAGGGCAAUUUGAUGUCAGCU